UGAGUCAGCUGGACAAUUGCUGUUUGCAUCACUUUGUUUUUCGCCUAGCGAAUAAUGAGGUAGUAGAUAGAGGAAAGUCCGGGCUCCAGAGAGCAGGGUGCCAGGUAACUCCUGGGGGGUGUGAACCCACGGCUAGUGCAGCAGAAAAUAUACCGCUUCUUGUUUAACAGGGAGUAAGGGUGAAAUGGUGCGGUAAGAGCGCACCGCGCGACUGGUAACAGUUCGCGGCAAGGUAAACCCCACUCGGAGCAAGGCCAAAUAGGGAUCCUCUAAUGUUGCUCGCAUUGGAUUCGGGUAGGCCGCUAGAAGCCUGUGGUGACGCAGGCUGCAGAUGAAUAAUUGUCCUCGACAGAACCCGGCUUACAGGCUGGCUCACCGU
rnacentral:RNase_P_RNA from 1 species